rnacentral:rRNA from 1 species
GACGAACGCUGGCGGCGUGCUUAACACAUGCAAGUCGAGCGAUGAAGCACCUUCGGGUGUGAAUUAGCGGCGAACGGGUGAGGAACACGUGAGAAAUCUGCCUUCAACUCUGGGAUAACUCCGGGAAACCGGGGCUAAUACCGGAUAUGAGCCUUGAUCGCAUGAUCGGGGCUGGAAAGUUUUUCGGUUGAAGAUGAUCUCGCGGCCUAUCAGCUUGUUGGUGAGGUAAUGGCUCACCAAGGCGACGACGGGUAGCCGGCCUGAGAGGGCGACCGGCCACACUGGGACUGAGACACGGCCCAGACUCCUACGGGAGGCAGCAGUGGGGAAUAUUGGGCAAUGGAGGAACUCUGACCCAGCGACGCCGCGUGAGGGAUGAAGGCC